rnacentral:miRNA from 1 species
UGGGUACCACGCUGGGCUCACA